GUGAGGAAUAUUGCGCAAUGGAGGCAACUCUGACGCAGCCAUGCCGCGUGCAGGAAGAAGGCGCUACGCGUUGUAAACUGCUUUUAUCUGGGAAGAAAAAGGCCAUGCGUGGCAAAUUGCCGGUACCAGAUGAAUAAGCACCGGCUAACUCCGUGCCAGCAGCCGCGGUAAUACGGAGGGUGCGAGCGUUGUCCGGAUUUAUUGGGUUUAAAGGGUGCGUAGGCGGCUGAUUAAGUCAGCGGUGAAAGACUUCGGCUUAACCGGAGCAGUGCCGUUGAUACUGGUUGGCUUGAGUGUCGGAGGGGUACAUGGAAUUGAUGGUGUAGCGGUGAAAUGCAUAGAUACCAUCAGGAACACCGAUAGCGAAGGCAUUGUACUGGCCGACAACUGACGCUGAUGCACGAAAGUGUGGGGAUCGAACAGGAUUAGAAACCCGGGUAGUCC
rnacentral:rRNA from 1 species